rnacentral:lncRNA from 1 species
AUCCAAGAAGAAAAUUAUGGCAUUCUAGGUCAAAAUUAUGAUAUCCUGAUUAAGAUGUCAUAAUUUUGAUCAGAAUACCACAAUUUUCAUCUUGGAUGUCAUAAUUUUGUCAAAAUAGAGAGGUAUUUUCAUCAUUUAAAAUUUCAAACGAAAAAGUAGAACUGCAGACAUUAAAUAGACAUUAAAUGUGCGUUGAAAAACAGUGACUAUAUGGUCCAAUAAGAUGAAGCGGUGCAUUCUACAUCAGAUUUUCUACACCGCAGGCGGUGCACAAAAAUUUUUUUAUUCUCGUUGAGCAGCU